UUUGAGUAGAGUAAAUUAUUUUUAUAAAAUAAAAAAAAUAUUUUUAUGUUAUAGUAAAUUUUAAUGAAAUAAUAGUUAUUAUUAUAGUUAAUUAGUAAAGUGAUUGAAUUUUUUUUUAUUUAUAAAAGAAUAAUUUAUUUUUAGUACCUUUUGUAUCAGGGUUUAUUAAUUAAAAAUUAAUAAUUUAAUUUUCUCGGUUUUAAAAGAGUUAAUUAUUUAUAAAUUUUAUUGUAAAAUAAAUAUUUUAAAUAAAUAAUUAGUAAUGAAACGUUAUUCGUUUUUAAAUAUAUCUAGUUUUCUUAGAAUAAAAUUUAAUUUUAUAUAUAUUAAUAUUUUUAUUAAUAGUAGUAUUUAAUUUAGUAUAUAUUAUAUUAUUAGGGGUUAGCUUAAUAAUAAAAAUUUAUAAAUAGUAUUUUAAAAUAAAUUUGUAGAAUUAUAAAUUUUCAUCAUUUAGUUUGUUAUAAUUAAUUUAUUUUAUAAAAUAAUUUAUAUUAAUUUUAAUUUUUUUAUAAGAAUAUAAAAUUUAAUUUAAUAAUUUUAGGGUUAAUGAUAAAAUUAGUAUAAAUUAAUGUAAGAGUAAUUAAUAUUUUUAUGUUAUAAAAAGGAAUUCGGCAAAUUAUUUUUCGCCUGUUUAUUAAAAACAUGUCUUUUUGAUGAUAAUUUAAAGUCUGACCUGCCCAAUGAUAGAUUAAAUGGCUGCAGUAUUUUGACUGUACAAAGGUAGCAUAAUCAUUAGUUUUUUAAUUAGAAACUGGAAUGAAAGGUUGAACGAGAAAAUGACUGUCUUUUUAUAAAUUUUUUAAAAUUUUAUUUUUAAGUUAAAAAGCUUAAAUAGUUUUAAAAGACGAGAAGACCCUUUAGAGUUUUAUAUUGUAUAAAAUUAAUUAAAAUUAAUAAUUUUUUAUUAUAAAUUUUAUAUAAUAUUUUAUUGGGGUGAUAGAAAAAAUUAAUAAACUUUUUUUUUAUUAAAACAUUGAUUUAUGAUUUUUUGAUCCAUUAUUAUGAUUACAAGAUUAAAUUACCUAAGGGAUAACAGCGUAAUUUUUUUUAAGAGUUCUUAUCGAUAAAAAAGUUUGCGACCUCGAUGUUGGAUUAAAAUUUAUUUUUGGUGUAGAAGCUAAAUAAUUAGGUCUGUUCGACCUUUAAAAUUUUACAUGAUCUGAGUUUAAACCGGUGUGAGCCAGGUUGGUUUCUAUCUUUAAAUUAGUAAUAUAUUUUAGUACGAAAGGACCAUAUAUUUAUAAUAAUUAUGUAUUAAUGA
rnacentral:rRNA from 1 species